ACAAACCAGCCUAACUAAAGCAUUGAAGUACUACAAAUGGAUGAUGGAAAGCAGCAUGUAGCAGAUGAGCAAGUUGCAGCUGAGAGGUUAAGUGAUGUGCCCAGGGUUACAUAGCUGCUGUGUUUGUUUUCAACACCAUGGAACCAGAUGCUCCUCCUAGGAUAACAGGAUCACUUCUAAUCUCAUCUCUAUGCUUCUAACGUAGGCCUCAGAUUCUAUAUCACUGAGUGCCAUUAAGACACAGACCAAAUCAACGUCCUUUUCCAUCCCUCUACUUUUGAACAUUCUCCAUUCAUAUCUGAUACUUACACAUCUGGUGAUCUGCAGAACCUAGACGCAACUAAUAAUGAAUCAUCUCUGACUCACUCAUUUUAUUGUUUCAACUCCUUUCCAUAUUCUAAAUCCCAGACAAUGAGCCCACUCUUGUUUGUACCACUGUUGUCUUUUCUCACUCUGCCCCAGUUUUCACACAACAAAUCAAGAAUCAAUUAACUUGGCUCCACUGAUAAAUGUCAGCCCUGAUCUUCCUUCACCAUAUCCAGGGGACCAGUUUCUACAAAGGGGGUCUAGUGAAUAACAGAAAUGAGUUUCCUGUAUAAGUUCAGGUAAUAAGUGGAACCUGAAAGUAGUUCUAUCUCUUUUCUGCCUCCCAUUCUCAGCUGUUUCUCAUUUAUUGUCACUGUCAGACUCCAACAAAGAUAUUCUUAUCCAGGCUGUUUGUGUGGGGCUUUAGACUGUUUGGUCAAAAAAAUCAUGUUAUUAUAUUGGAAAAUUUUAUGGGGAAAGGGGAGGGUUUUAAAAAAAAACAUAUAUUACAGAGCUUUCUGGAUCACAUAUCAUCUACCAUAGGACUACAGUGUACACACCAGCUCAAAAAGCCUUACAUAUUUCUCAUAUAAACCUUCAAAAUAUAUGAACUUAUCUUCAUUUGCAGCCAACCCUGCCUAUAUUUCUAUCAUGCUCUCAUUUUAUUAUACAUCAAAUUAUAUCC